rnacentral:rRNA from 1 species
CGAAANNNNCCGGCACGCUCGUAGGUCUAGCGUUUCGGAAUAUUGGGCGUAAGGGCGCGCAGGCGGAUUCCCAUUUCGGUCUUAAAAGUGCGGGGCUCAACCCCUUGAGUGCACUUAAACUGUGAAGCUCUAGUGUCAGAAAAGAAGGCGGAAUUCCUAUGGUAUCGCUGAGAUGCGCUUAUAUUUGGAGGAACACUCCUGUUGAAAGCGCCUUUCUGGACAACAACUGAGGCUGUGGUGCUCAAGCGUGUGGAUCUCACGGGAUUUUAUACCCCGGGGGUCUUGGCCGUGUACGAUGUGAUACUCUCUGUGGUUGGGAUCUACUCCUUCUGUGCCGGCGUUAGCGUCAUGAGUUUCCCGCCUGGAGACUACGGCCGCAAGUGCUGACUCUCACAGUAUUUGACGGGGGCCCGCAAAAGCAGUAACAGUAUGUGGUUUACUUCGACUCCGCGCGAAGAAUUUUACCGAGUCUUGACAUUGAUUGCUACGGAAAGAGAUUUCAGGCCUCUUCUUCGGAAGACAAGAAAACAGAUGGUGCAAGGCUGCUCGUCAGCGUGAGUCGUGAGAUGUUGGGUUAAGUCCCGCAACGAGCGAAACCCAUAUCUUCCGUUGCCAGCAGUAAGGGUGGGGUCUCAGAAGAGACUGCGGCAGACAAUCCGUAGUAAGACGGGGAUAACGUCAAGUCAUCAUGCCCCUUAUGGCUUGGGCUACACAGGUACUACAAUGGCUCUUAAUAGAGGGAAGCGAAGGAGCGAUCCGGAGCAAACCCCAAAAACAGAGUCCCAGUUUGGAUGGCAGGAUGCAACUCGCCAGCAUGAAGCAGGAAUCCCUAGUAAUCGCGGGUCAGCAUAUUGCGCAGAAUACGUUCCCGGGCUUUGUAGACACCGCCCGUCACACCAGGAAAGUCAUUCACACCGGAAGCCGGUGAGGCAACCGCAAGGAACCAGCGUUCGAAGGUGGAGCCGAUAAUUGGGGUGAAGUCGUAACAAGGUAGCCGUAAGG